rnacentral:rRNA from 1 species
AACGCUAGCUACAGGCUUAACACAUGCAAGUCGAGGGGCAGCAUGGUCUUAGCUUGCUAAGGCCGAUGGCGACCGGCGCACGGGUGAGUAACGCGUAUCCAACCUGCCUUACACUCUUGGACAGCCUUCUGAAAGGGAGAUUAAUACAAGAUGUUAUCAUGAGUAAGCAUUUUCGCAUGAUUAAAGGUUUACCGGUGUAAGAUGGGGAUGCGUUCCAUUAGAUAGUAGGCGGGGUAACGGCCCACCUAGUCUUCGAUGGAUAGGGGUUCUGAGAGGAAGGUCCCCCACAUUGGAACUGAGACACGGUCCAAACUCCUACGGGAGGCAGCAGUGAGGAAUAUUGGUCAAUGGACGAGAGUCUGAACCAGCCAAGUAGCGUGAAGGAUGAAGGUUCUAUGGAUUGUAAACUUCUUUUAUACGGGAAUAAACGAAUCCACGUGUGGAUUUUUGCAUGUACCGUAUGAAUAAGGAUCGGCUAACUCCGUGCCAGCAGCCGCGGUAAUACGGAGGAUCCGAGCGUUAUCCGGAUUUAUUGGGUUUAAAGGGAGCGUAGGCCGCAAGUCAAGCGUGUUGUGAAAUGCAGGGGCUCAACCUCUGGAUUGCAGCGCGAACUGGCAUGCUUGGGUACGCACGAGGUAGGCGGAAUUUGUGGUGUAGCGGUGAAAUGCUUAGAUAUCACGAAGAACUCCGAUUG